AUCACAUUGCCAGGGAUUUC
rnacentral:ncRNA from 3 species